CCCUUAGAUGUUCUGGGCCGCACGCGCGCUACACUGAUGCAUUCAACGAGCCUAUCCUUGACCGACAGGUCCGGGUAAUCUUUGAAUCUGCAUCGUGACGGGGAUAGAUUAUUGCAAUUAUUACUCUUCAACGAGGAAUGCCUAGUAGGCGCAAGUCAUCAGCUUGCGUCGAUUACGUCCCUGCCCUUUGUACACACCGCCCGUCGCUCCUACCGAUUGGGUGUGCUGGUGAAAUGUUCGGAUCGGCCGUUUGUCGCGGUUUCCGCGUCAUGUGGCUGAGAAGUUCAUUAAACCCUCCCACCUAGAGGAAGGAGAAGUCGUAACA
rnacentral:rRNA from 1 species